rnacentral:rRNA from 1 species
GGGCUCACACAAGCGGUGGAGCAUGUGGAUUAAUUCGAAGCAACGCGCAGAACCUUACCUGGGUUUGACAUGCUUGGAUGCCUUGCUGGAAACAGUGGAGGCUACCCUUCGGGGUGAAACUUGCACAGGUGCUGCAUGGCUGUCGUCAGCUCGUGUCGUGAGAUGUCGGGUUAAGUCCUCUAACGAGCGAAACCCUUGCCGUUAGUUACCAGCGGGUCAUGCCGGGAACUCUAACGGGACUGCCGGUGUUAAACCGGAGGAAGGUGGGGAUGACGUCAAGUCAUCAUGGCCUUUAUGCCCAGGGCAUCACACGUGCUACAAUGACCGGGACAAAGCGACGCAAGACCGCGAGGUGGAGCCAAUCGCAAAAACCCGGCCCCAGUUCGGAUUGCAGGCUGGCAACUCGCCUGCAUGAAGUUGGAAUCGCUAGUAAUCGCGAAUCAGCUAUGUCGCGGUGAAUGUGUUCCUGAGCCUU